rnacentral:rRNA from 1 species
AUUGAACGCUGGCGGCAUGCCUUACACAUGCAAGUCGAACGGUAACGCGGGGCAACCUGGCGACGAGUGGCGAACGGGUGAGUAAUGCAUCGGAACGUGCCCGGUAGUGGGGGAUAACUGCUCGAAAGAGCAGCUAAUACCGCAUACGACCUGAGGGUGAAAGGGGGGGAUCGCAAGACCUCUCGCUAUCGGAGCGGCCGAUGUCGGAUUAGCUAGUUGGUGGGGUAAAGGCCUACCAAGGCGACGAUCCGUAGCUGGUCUGAGAGGACGACCAGCCACACUGGGACAGAGACACGGCCCAGACUCCUACGGGAGGCAGCAGUGGGGAAUUUUGGACAAUGGACGCAAGUCUGAUUCAGCCAUGCCGCGUGCGGGAAGAAGGCCUUCGGGUUGUAAACCGCUUUUGUCAGGGAAGAAAUCUUCUGAGUUAAUACCUCGGGAGGAUGACGGUACCUGAAGAAUAAGCACCGGCUAACUACGUGCCAGCAGCCGCCGUAA